CAGCACAUGUCACUUCCCA
rnacentral:misc_RNA from 1 species